rnacentral:lncRNA from 1 species
AGCUAUCAUUUACUCAGCAGAUGUGGCACAAGUGCUUUACAUGCAUUAUCUCAUUUUCCUUGCAGAAAAAUUCUGACUCUGAUAAUGGAGCUAAAUUCUACAGAAAUGAGAGUACAAGGUAGACUGUGAAAAAAAAUUACGUCAGUGAGGCACUGGGCUAGGUCCUGAAGCUGCUAUCAAGAUAAAUGAGCAAAGCUGCCCUCGAAUUUGUUACCACCCGAUUAAUGGAUAGAGGGCCUGAACCCACAACCCGGAGAUCAAGACUUGAGCUGAGAUUGGGAGUUGAAGGCUUAACCAACUGAGCCAUCCAGGAGCCCCGUGAAGGUAUAUUUUUAAAUUGUAUUUCACUAAUUCAGCAGCCCCUUGAGAGUGCCUAUGUACU